GAAGUCCCCAUCGGGCAAAGCUUAACCAGCAGCCCGUACCGAGUGUUGCGCGGUUGGCGGAGUCGGUUACAGAUGAAUCGACGAACAAAGAUCGUGAAGUGUACACAGGGAACACUGCAGGCCGCAGGGGAGACGUACCUCCCUCAAGCGAUUCAGCCUCGUAAGAGUAACAGAGCAGCUGACGACGGUUUUAUCGUUGUCAGCGGGUGACCAUGGUCGGCGAUCGGGGAAUGAUCA
rfam:Desulfofustis glycolicus DSM 9705 genome assembly, contig: EJ46DRAFT_scaffold00009.9